CACUCAGCACUGCUGCAGUAUCCCUGCUCCUCACUCUCUGACCUUCCACAGGCACCAUGCAAGCAUUUGUUCCAAGGUCAUACCUGACACCGGUGAGGGAUGAAGAAGCGGAGUCUCAGAGGAAAGCGAAGUCUCGUCAUGCCAGACAGACCCGGAGGUCAACACAGGGCGUGACUCUGACAGACCUUAAAGAGGCUCAGAAGACCACCGGAGCGUCUCCAGCUGAGAGACAGACAG